GACACCCAAUGUCUCCGCCUGGACUGCCUCCGAUCCCUGCCGUCCUACAUCAGGAUCACCAUGGCGCAUCGCCAUCAGCAGCAAUCGGCUACAUAAGAACGAAGUUCCUUCGAGUCCACAGCCACCGCGCGGCCUCAUCUCCGGUAAGCCUGGCGGCGGGUGCAGCGUCCGGACAAUCUGGAUCCUCACGCCCCAUGACGCGAUCUACCCUUUCCAGUGGUGGGGAAAUGGAGGCGCGUGGGAGGCGGAAGGGGCUGGGAAGGGCGUGAAGAUGCGACUGUCGGCUGACUACGAGAAGCCCAUGCCUUUGCCGGCAAUUUGAGAAGAUGCUGAGUACAAUAAUGGAAAUUGGACAGGUUAAUCGACCAAUAAUCAUGGUUUAUGGUGGAACUACUAAGGCCAUAUGCCUUAAAUAUCUGCUUUCCAGUUAAGUGUGUCACCUUUGAAUGCCCCUAACCCGGGGCUGAAACAGCGGGGUCAAAGGAAUCCGCGACAGGCACAAGCCAUUGUCGCCUGCUGCCUGAGUUGGCGCUGAAACGGCGCGGUUGAGGGGCUCCACGACAGGGAUGGUCCAUUCUUCGCUUGCAGCGUUUGAGUCGGUGUUGCGGCAGGGGUCGAGGGGCUCCCCGACGGAAACACUCUCCCCAGGAGUCUACGACAAUGAGAUGGUGUCACCCAUGCUGAGCAGUGAGAUCGCGCUAGCCCUACAUGUCGCCUACCUAUGCCACUACGUUCUGCUGCGAGCAAGCGAUGUUCUCUCCAUGGUGUCAUGUACAUAAGAGAGAUGUCAUGUGCAGAGCUCUCUUACGGGCUUGCCAUUCACGCCACUUGGAAUUGGGGUUCACCAGUCAUGGCCAUGGGAUGAGUCAGCUAUGCGAAGGAGUGAAUGAUCAAGGGCGGGGCGAUGGUGAGCUCGCUGGAAUGGACAAGCCUACAAUGCAUUGUUGGUUGUGCGUGGGAAGAUUGAGAAGAAGCUAAAAAUGGAGAUGGGGAAGCAGCUGUCGGCCUGUGUAGGUUUACGGCAACAGUUUACGACCAUAUUAUGCUUGUAGCAGCAUAUGCCCAUAUUAUCUCGGCCGAGCUCUUAGACAGUACGCAAAACCGUGACCGUGAAACGCAUGAUGUAGGGACAUUUGAUGCUUUGAACCUUGAUUGCCGGUGCACAACGUUGUAUUCACAAGAAUCUACUGAAAAGUGGACCCUCUUUGAUAUAAACCAAACAAUUCGUGUUUUGGGUGAUUGACUAAUGCUACUGUUGUGUUUACGAGCA